rnacentral:tRNA from 1 species
CGGGGCGUGGCGCAGCUUGGCUAGCGCGCUUGAAUGGGGUUCAAGAGGUCGUCGGUUCAAAUCCGAUCGCCCCGACCA